rnacentral:rRNA from 1 species
GAUGAACGCUGGCGGCGUGCCUAAUACAUGCAAGUCGAGCGAACAGACGAGGAGCUUGCUCCUCUGACGUUAGCGGCGGACGGGUGAGUAACACGUGGAUAACCUACCUAUAAGACUGGGAUAACUUCGGGAAACCGGAGCUAAUACCGGAUAAUAUAUUGAACCGCAUGGUUCAAUAGUGAAAGACGGAUUUGCUGUCACUUAUAGAUGGAUCCGCGCCGCAUUAGCUAGUUGGUAAGGAAACGGCUUACCAAGGCGACGAUGCGUACCCGACCUGAGGGGGUGAUCGGCCACACUGGAACUGAGACACGGUCCAGACUCCUACGGGAGGCAGCAGUGGGGAAUCUUCCGCAAUGGGCGAAAGCCUGACGGAGCAACGCCGCGUGAGUGAUGAAGGUCUUCGGAUCGUAAAACUCUGUUAUUAGGGAAGAACAAAUGUGUAAGUAACUAUGCACGUCUUGACGGUACCUAAUCAGAAAGCCACGGCUAACUACGUG